rnacentral:rRNA from 1 species
GCUACGGGAGGCAGCAGUGAGGAAUAUUGGUCAAUGGCCGAGAGGCUGAACCAGCCAAGUCGCGUGAGGGAAGACGGCCCUACGGGUUGUAAACCUCUUUUGUCGGGGAGCAAAGCGAACCACGUGUGGGUCAUUGAGAGUACCCGAAGAAAAAGCAUCGGCUAACUCCGUGCCAGCAGCCGCGGUAAGACGGAGGAUGCGAGCGUUCUCCGGAUUUAUUGGGGUUAAAGGGUGCGCAGGCGGAGGUGCAAGUCAGCGGUCAAAUUGCGGGGCUCAACCCCGUACUGCCGUUGAAACUGCAUCCCUUGAGUGCGCGAGCCGUAUUCGGAAUGCGUGGUGUAGCGGU